CCUACGGGAGGCAGCAGUGGGGAAUCUUAGACAAUGGGCGCAAGCCUGAUCUAGCCAUGCCGCGUGAGCGAUGAAGGCCUUAGGGUUGUAAAGCUCUUUCGUGGGGGAAGAUAAUGACGGUACCCCAAGAAGAAGCCCCGGCUAACUCCGUGCCAGCAGCCGCGGUAAUACGGAGGGGGCUAGCGUUGUUCGGAAUUACUGGGCGUAAAGCGCACGUAGGCGGAUCGGAUAGUCAGAGGUGAAAUCCCAGGGCUCAACCUUGGAACUGCCUUUGAAACUCCCGGUCUUGAGGUCGAGAGAGGUGAGUGGAAUUCCGAGUGUAGAGGUGAAAUUCGUAGAUAUUCGGAGGAACACCAGUGGCGAAGGCGGCUCACUGGCUCGAUACUGACGCUGAGGUGCGAAAGCGUGGGGAGCAAGCAGGAUUAGAUACCCUGGUAGUCCACGCCGUAAACGAUGAAUGCCAGUCGUCGGCAGGCAUGCCUGUCGGUGACACACCUAACGGAUUAAGCAUUCCGCCUGGGGAGUACGGCCGCAGGUUAAAACUCAAAUGAAUUGACGG
rnacentral:rRNA from 1 species